AAGCAAAAAUAAUCCCUAUUCAUUUCAAUAUACCAAGACCCAUUCAUCUUUCUUUUCCAGAUUCUUCUUAUCCUCUUCCACUCCCUAUUUUUUUUAGCAAAUCGGUGAAAACUAGGGCUCUCUUCCUCUUCCAUCUCUUUCUACUGCUUCUCUGGCAAGCUCCAGAAUCUCAUCUCGCAUGCACCACUGUUCCCCACUUUUAAAUCCUCAGUAGCCAAAAGGUGGGCAACUCCAAUCGACGAUCGAGGACUAUAACUAAACUUACAGUUAACGCAUCUCCUUCAACUUCUGUGUCCAGAAAUCCCAGAUCUAAUCCCCAUUGAAGACUUUGGACACAUGCUAAAGCUUCAGUUACAAAGGAUGAAUAUUCCCAUAAAGCUGCAUCAAAAUUAAUUUUCACAAGUGGAUGUUCCAAUGGACUCCAAUUCUUUGAUUCCCAUCUACGAAUAGGAGAUUGUUGUAAAAUAAAUCUGUAAGCACUGCGGGCCGUAAACUCCCCGAAAGCCUCUCCAAACCACACUUGAUAGUUAUCAUGCGGAAAUCUAGACAAUGGAAUGUGAAGAAUCCUUCUAGUAUCCAUAUCACUAAAGGUAUCUCUUAUGUUAUCCACUUUCCAGACUCUAUUUGUGUUAUCAAUUAGAUCACUCACUUUCAAAUAUUCAUGACAUCUCUCACCAUUUUGUAUUCUGUAAUUUACAGCUCCUGGUACCCAUGUCUUAAUCAUUCAUGCAAUUGUAAUUCAAAAUUAAUUACAUUAAUCAUAUUAACGAGUAGCUUUCUAACUCCUAUUCUUAAAACACUAUAAAUAGAAGCCUUUCACAAUAGGUGACAAAACUUUUGACACUUUUGGCAUUUUCAGCUUUU